UUCUUAUCAAGAGAGGUGGAGGGACUGGCCCUGUGAUAUCUCAGCAACCGCUAUUAAAGUAAGGUGCUACUUCCAGCAAGUUGAUUAAAAACUUGAUAGAUGAGGA
rnacentral:ncRNA from 2 species